rnacentral:lncRNA from 1 species
GGCCUUGCUCUUAUGUCAUCUGACUAAAGGUUUCAUAGACCAAAAAUAACCAUCCAACCUGUUGGAAUACUGAAACAAUUGCUGCCUGCUUUCCACACACUACAUAAAAUAUGUGGAUAUCCUAAAUUCUACAAAAAAAGAUUUGUAAGCAAAUCAAGCAAUACUGGGACUCCCUCUUCUCCAGAAGAGACAUCCUGGCCUCCAUGCAGAAGAAUGUGUGGAUGGACAUAUAUUUAAGGAAGACACUAAACCAGAAAAUACUACAUUACACCCUCUUAAAAGACUUCUAAGAUUGUUGUCAUGCCUACCACUGACAUUCAGAUGAUGUGUAUUCUUGAUUGUGAUUUCAUGUUUGGAGCUGAUGAAGGUGUUUGAAGUCUCCAGAGCAGCAAGGAGAGUGGGGAGUAGAACUCAUCAUCUUUAGGUCACUCAUCCCCG